UCCAUGUCUCAACGCAGGGGUGGCCGGCAGAAAGCAGCCCAUCCUAAAGCUCGCAUUUUAAAGCUAUCUUGUCCCUCACUUUUCUGCCGGCCACUCCCACGUUGAGACGUGCAAC
rnacentral:pre_miRNA from 1 species